AUGAAGACACGUGAAACAGGGGAUGUUUGGAUGAAGCCCACGGCUGAGAAGAGAUGAGGCUUUGGGAUGCGGCUGUACGCUUUUGAGAAGAUCUCGGAUGGUUGUUCUUUGGAUGCGGAAGGAGUUGAAUUCCUGAGCUUUAUCCAUGGACGAUGGGACUCCGUUCCAAACGGGAUGAGAUCUGGGCGUUUUGGAAGGCUUAUCCCGCCUGAGAAAAGAACUUGAGGAUUCGGUUGGGAAGAACUUGUUCCGAAAUAGGGGAGCUAAGAACGGAAUGGGAUGAAGGAAGUUCACUAGGAUGUAAGUUGAAACAGGGGAUUCUUCCGUGGCCAAUUAAACCGAAUAGGAGGGAGUUUAGAUUCGGUUGACAGUUGAGAUGAAGCUUGCUUGGAAUUCAUUCGUG
rnacentral:lncRNA from 1 species